CAAUUUAUAAGCUACUAAUAAUCUACAUCUUAGAGCAUCUCCAAUGCAUUGGAUCUUAGAGUGAGUCUUAAAUCCUCAUUUCCACAAAAUUCACAUUUUUUACACUUUUAUUUUAAAUUUCAAAUUUUAUUAAAAUUAAAUUAAACAUUGCAAUAAAAAUAAAAUUACAUAAUUUAAAUAAUAAAAAAAUUACAUAAUUUAAAUAAUUAAGAUUUUAAAAGAAAAAAAAAACAAAAUUCCCCACCCCCACCGACUCCCCUUUUCUUCUUUCUUUCCCC
rnacentral:lncRNA from 1 species